rnacentral:sRNA from 1 species
UUUUAUUUAGCCUUGUUUUAAUUCUUCUUUUUCCCAGAAUGAAAAAGAUCGGUGGACAUCUAAAAAGAGCACAUUUAUUAAACUUGUGGAAAAAAGCCACCUCAGUCACAUGCGCAAUGUGUUUGAGAAUUACAAAAAAUUGAACAAAGGCAAGCCAGUGACCAAGUCCAUACAAGAAGAUUGUCAUGAUAAAUCUGCAGAUACUUAUGCUGAUGUAGUUGGCGCUUACAUUAGCUGCUCCGAGACAGCUGGUACAGAGAAAGCUGAUUACCUACAUAAAAACUUGGAUCCAACAAACCCA